CCGUGGGCAGGCUGAAGCGGGGGUAAGACCCCGUGGAGGGCCGAACGCACGUCGGUUGAAAACGGCGGCGAUGACCUGCGGGUAGGGGUGAAAGGCCUAUCAAACCCGGAGAUAUCUCGUUCUCCCCGAAAUAGCUUUAGGGCUAGCGUCGCGCGUUAACCCCGGGAGGUAGAGCACCGGAUCGAUGAGGGGGCUUCGCCGCCUACCGAUUCGAACCGAACUCCGAAUGCCCGAGGGUCUAGAGCGCGGCAGUCAGAACAUGUGGGCUAAGCUGUGUGUUCGAGAGGGAAACAGCCCAGACCGCCCGCUAAGGUCCCAAAUUCAGAGCCGAGUGGCAAAGGAUGUGCGUCCGCGCAGACAACCAGGAGGUUGGCUUAGAAGCAGCCACCCCUUCAAAGAGUGCGUAACAGCUCACUGGUCGAGUGGACAUGCGCCGACAAUACACGGGGCUAAGCUCUGAACCGAAGCGGCGGGAUGAUUCAAAUCAUCGGUAGGGGAGCGUCCCAGCGGGGGCGAAGCGGGAGGGGAACCGACCGUGGACCUUCUGGGAGCGAGAAUGCUGGCAUGAGUAGCGAGAGACGAGAGGGUAACUCGUCCGCCGUAAACCCGAGGUUUCCUGGGCAAGGCUAAUCCUCCCAGGGUCAGUCGGGGGCUAAGGCGAGGCCGGAAGGCGUAGUCGAAGCGCAGCAGGCAGACAUUCCUGCACCGCGAUGGAACCGUCACGACCGACGGGGCGACGGAUUGGGGUGGCUCGGCGGGGUUCUGGACGUCCCCGUGAUGGAGCGCGGCCCGGAGACCAGGCAAAUCCGGUCUCCACGAGGGCGAGGCUCCGGACGAAGCGAUCGAGCGAAGCGAGUGAGCCCGAGGUCCCUAGAAAAACCCCUAGGCAGGCGCCAUCGCGCCCGUACCGCAAACCGACACAGGUGGGUGGGUAGAACAUACCGAGGCGAUCGGGUCAACCAUGGUUAAGGAACUCGGCACAAUGGCCCCGUAACUUCGGGAGAAGGGGUGCCCCCGCGUACGUGAACCGGCUCGCCCGGGGAGCGGAGGGGGGCCGCAGUGAAGAGGCCCAAGCGACUGUUUACCAAAAACACAGGACUCUGCAUAAGCCGCGAGGCGACGUAUAGGGUCUGACGCCUGCCCGGUGCCGGAAGGUCACGCGGAGGUGUUAGCGCGAGCGAAGCACCGAAGCCAAGCCCCGGUAAACGGCGGCCGUAACUAUAACGGUCCUAAGGUAGCGAAAUUCCUUGUCGGGUAAGUUCCGACCUGCACGAAAGGCGCAACGACUUGGGCGCUGUCUCAACCAUGGACCCGGUGAAAUUCCACUAGUCGUGAAGAUGCGACUUACCCGCGGAAGGACGGAAAGACCCCGUGAACCUUCACUGCAGCUUGGCAUUGGCCGCUGGUCCGGCGCGUAGAGGAUAGGCGGGAGGCAUCGAUGCGGGGGCGCCAGCCCCCGCGGAGCCGCCCUUGGAAUACCGCCCUCGCCGCACCGGCGUCCUAACCCCGUCCCGUGGAGCCGGGCGGGGGACCGUGCCAGGUGGGCAGUUUGACUGGGGCGGUCGCCUCCUAAAAGGUAACGGAGGCGCGCGAAGGUCCGCUCGGGACGGUCGGCAACCGUCCUUUUGAGUGCAAGAGCGUAAGCGGGCUUGACUGCGAGGCCCACAAGCCGAGCAGGUGCGAAAGCAGGCUCUAGUGAUCCGGCGGCCCCACGUGGGAGGGCCGUCGCUCAACGGAUAAAAGGUACUCCGGGGAUAACAGGCUGAUCUUGCCCAAGAGUCCACAUCGACGGCAAGGUUUGGCACCUCGAUGUCGGCUCAUCGCAUCCUGGGGCUGGAGCAGGUCCCAAGGGUACGGCUGUUCGCCGUUUAAAGCGGUACGCGAGCUGGGUUCAGAACGUCGUGAGACAGUUCGGUCCCUAUCCUCCGCGGGCGCAGGAGAAUCGAGGGAGGCUGCCCCUAGUACGAGAGGACCGGGGUGGACGGACCUCCGGUGAACCGGUUGUCGACCAACGGCAUGGCCGGGUAGCCGCGUCCGGCGCGGAUAACCGCUGAAGGCAUCUAAGCGGGAAGCCGUUCCCGAGAUCAGUUCUCCUUCUGGUAAGGGCCCAGGUAGAACACCUGGUCGAUAGGCCGCAGGUGCAAGGUCGGCGACGGCCUCAGCCGAGCGGCACUAAUCGCCCGAGCUCUUACCCG
rnacentral:rRNA from 1 species